CAGCCAUGGACUAAUACUAAUGAAUUUCAAUCCCGCGCCCGAUAACAUCAAAUCAACAAACUCAAAGACUCCCUUUGCUCUCGAUCUACGAUACCCACGCACCCCCCCCCCACACCACGCCACCCUCUACCGACGCGAUAAUUACUGGAAAAUUUGGAUAAAAAAGUGCUUUUCUUUUCUUUUCCUUUCCUUUCUUUUCUUCUUUUUCCACGGCAAUGGGGAGGGUAACAAAGGAGUGUGGAGUUUUUGUAUUUGUAUUUGUUUCUGUAAUUAUUUUGUGCGCGGAAUUUGGUCGCUCUGCUAGAUCUGAGCAGGAAAUUAGGGAAAGGUUUUAUGGAAAUUUAAUUAAUUCUUCAGCUCCAGGAAAUGGAGAGGGCAGUAUUGCGAAGAUGUUUGAUCGAGUUUUGGAGAAAGAGUUUUCUGAAAAUGAUCAGCCUGAAAGUUCUGAUGGAAGCAGCUUCAACAGCACCGUAGCCGAUCAACAGGCUGUUCUAGAGACUGUGGCUAAAAUCACCCGUGAGAAGAUGAAGAAAAAUGAAACUCAAGAGGCUAAUGGCACCAGAUCUUUCCAGUUUCAAGAUGUUUUCUCUCUUGAGAAUGAAGAUUCCGAUGACACAACAACUCUGAUAGACCAGAAGGAUAACGUUUUUGUGAUGUCGAAUAAGAAAUCAAAAUAUCCAGUACUUCAAGUAGAUUUAAGGCUAAUUUCAGACUUGGUGGUUGUUAUAGUCUCUGCUGCCAUUGGCGGAAUUAUCUCUUCUUGUUUGGGACAACCGGUCAUUGUCGGCUAUCUUCUAGCAGGAUCGAUUAUCGGACCAGGUGGUUUGAAAUUCAUCAGUGAAAUGGUGCAGGUUGAAACCGUUGCUCAGUUUGGUGUCGUCUUUCUUCUAUUUGCUUUAGGACUUGAGUUCUCUCUAUCAAAGCUCAAAGUUGUGGGUCCUGUUGCUGUUCUUGGCGGGCUGCUUCAAGUAGUGAUUUUUAUGUUCUUGUGUGGCAUAAUUGCAGUGUUAUGUGGAGCAAAGUUGUCGGAAGGGAUAUUUGUUGGUUGUUUUCUCUCAAUGUCAUCAACUGCAGUGGUAGUUAAGUUUCUGGUUGAGCGGAACAAUAGUGAUGCUCUUCACGGGCAAGUGACAAUUGGAACCCUUAUUUUCCAGGAUUGUGCUGUUGGCUUGUUAUUUGCUUUGCUCCCCAUUCUGGGUGGUAACAGUGGCAUUUUCCAAGGAAUGGUUUCCAUGGGAAAAUUGCUGCUCACCUUGUCUAUAUAUCUUGCUGGGGCAGCUGUAUUGAUUUGGUCUUUUGUUCCUCAGUUUUUGAAGUUAAUGACGCAUCUUUCCUCACAAACAAAUGAACUAUAUCAGCUAGCUGCGGUGGCCUUCUGCUUGUUGUCAGCUUGGUGCAGUGAUAAACUGGGACUUAGUCUUGAAUUGGGUUCGUUUGUUGCUGGCGUUAUGAUAUCCACCACUGACUUUGCACAGCAUACCUUAGACCAGGUGGAGCCAAUUCGUAACCUCUUUGCUGCUCUAUUCCUUUCUAGUAUUGGAAUGCUGAUACAUGUACAAUUCCUGUGGACGCAUGUGGAUAUAUUGCUUGCCUCUGUUAUUCUGGUUAUAGUUGUUAAGACAACAGUUGCUGCUACGAUCACAAAGGCCUUUGGUUACAAUCUUAGGACAUCAGUUAUUGUUGGAGUGUUACUGGCGCAAAUUGGAGAAUUUGCAUUUGUCCUCUUAAGUCGUGCCUCAAAUUUACAUCUUGUCGAGUUCAGGGGAAGAUGUAUCUUCUUCUUCUUGGAACAACAGCUCUGAGUCUUGUGACUACUCCUGUUGUAUUUAAAUUGAUACCAGCUCUGAUGCACCUGGGAGUUCUUAUGCAUUGGUUUCCAUCGGAGAAUGGCACUAAUAAUGAGGAGAAAGUCUCCAUGAUUGAAGCACAUGACAGAGUCUUGUAACACUUGGUCUCCUUGCUUCCUACUAGAUUUGAAAAUUCUUGCUCUCAUUUUGCCGCGUAUUUCCAUCGAAGGCAUAUAUCCGGUGUAAUGUUAAUGCGGGGUUCAUGUUUCACCAGCUCUAGAAAUUAUUCUUGCAAUAUACAUUUUCGAGGAAUUGGAUGCCUCAAAGCAUUUAUCCAGACUAGUCUUGAGAAAACUAGGUUAGAUUUUUGGUGUACAUAAAGAGCACGACACGAUGUAUUCAACGGAAAUGUAACUAUCCAUUUUUUUUUAAUAGAAAUCGAUUCAUGCCCUACUUGGUAAAAUUAUUGGUCAAUGAGUUAUAUUUGAACA